GAGAAGAAACAAAUAGCUCAGAUGAUAUAGCACGAUAUAUAAAAUUCAUUAGCUUCAGAUUGAAGUAAAAUAAAGAGAGAGAACGCCAAAUAUAACUAAAUUAUAGAAUUUCCGGACAAAGUUUGACUGCCAAUAUCAUUCUGAUGCUAAUUAAGUACAAAGAAGCCUCUAUGGCAAUUCAUGAAAUUACUCUAGACGAAAAACGAAGUUGCAAAUUUGCCACUUUGAAAACUGAAACGAAAAGAAGCUAUAGCUACUUAGGGAACUAAUAUUGAAGACUACUUGCCCAACAUAAUUGCAUAUUUUCUUUACGGUCCUUACCUUGAACAUAUGACAACAAAUUUUCCCCAUUAUUUUUCUGGUUCUUUCGUAGUGGAGGCAGGGGCAGAUUUAUGGCCUUUUGCACGACUUUCACCUUUGCUCUUAACCAAAUAAGCUAGAACUUCCAAUGUCAUGGUUUGUGUAUUUUGAACCCAAAUACUCUUGGAACAUAACUCUGUGAUGGCUUUUGAGGCUUGAGGUGCCCGUACGUCAUCAAGAACAGGUGAGGAAAUGUUGUUCCAAAGUAGGCUCCAUCAAUGUCUAAAUAAAGUUGAGGAAACUUUAAGAAAUAUUAAAGCAUAGCCAGGACAUAGAGUGGGCCAUAAACAUGAGAACAUGGAGCAUAAAACAUGAAGUAGGUCAGUUGAUAAAACACCAUAACACACUUUAUAAUACUUGAUACUUCCAACCACCAUCUAACCUUUAACAGUUUCCAUUACACAAGACAAUGUGAGGUGAUUCCCCAAAUUAUAUCUCCAUCCCAAAUUAAUUACUUCUCUAUCAUACCAUUUUUAUAUGUCAGAAUAAGUUUGUUCAAUCUAAGCAAAUUAUUUGUGCACUUCUUAGAACUGCUACUACAACAAUAUUUGAGAACAAGAAAAAAAAGGACAGUUUGGAUCUUCACACAGUUUAUCUUGGGAUCCAAGUUCCAAGAUAACAGCUAGGUUUUAUGCAUCCACCAAUAUUUUGAAAGAAAGGUAACCAGAGCUACAUCUUCUGUGCCUUUUUGCAAGGCUGCGAAUAAGCCAACUCAAAUAUUUGUGCGAGCACAGCACAAUACAAUGUUCCAGCUUUGAAUAAGGCCCCAGCUGAAGCUCAACUCAGACCAUAAAUAGAAUAUAUAUAAAAAACAAAUAACAAUACAUCAUAAUAUGCAAUUAUGUAUCCUAAGCUUUCUAAAAAGUUCAUGAGUCUGAGCUAGAGCAUGUUUAGAAAAAAUUGACUUUUAAUUGGGUUUUGAGCUCAGCUAAAUGACGAGCUAGACUUGUUACAGCAGGUCUAAUAAAGCAUCACAUAGUUUAGCUAGAUGCAUAAAUCUAAAAAAUUAGAAAAAAAAAUAAAUAAAGGGAAAAAAAAAAGCCUAAAUCAUGCAUAGUUAGUAGUAAAUUUCAAAAAUUGCAAGAACAACUUUGCAAUGCAGGAAUCCAAACAUAAUGACUUUCAUACACCAAUGUAAAAGCAUUUACCAAUACCUAAAAAGAAAGAAAACUGAUAAAUUAAACAGAAAAUCAGCAGAUAAUGAAAUUAAAAUAAACAUGUUAAGAACCCCAAGGACAAGACCUAAAUAUUAUAUUUCUAAAUCUUAACCAUAGUCCUCAGCCCCUUUGAAAUUGAAAAAGUUCAAAUUAGAUGGAAAAACAUAUUAUUGAAUGUCUAGGCCAAAGUGAACACCAAAGUUGCAUGUGAAAAGCCUGCUUAUGCAAGUGCAUGGCUAAGAUGAAUAUAUGCAUUAAAGAAAGUCCAAAGAAACAAAGGAUACUACCUUGGUAUUUGGAACGGGGGUAGUACACAUCUUCACAUCUGGGGCAACAUAUUUUGACAGUGCUUGACCGAGGAAUGUCUGAUUGACCAACAGGAAGGCAGGGUUGUCCACAGCAGUAAACUCGUGGGCAUCUCCCAAAGUCACAGUUCUUGUACUUGUCCAUCAUAGCUGCCAUUCCUUUGCUAGUCAAUAUAUAUCGGGCAUGAAUCAGUCCAUACAGCAUCUCUGCAGCUGACUCUACUAACUCAUGCUGUUCCUCUGUAAACAUAUCCCCAUGAGAGGAUUCAACAUCCAAAAUCAAAUCAAGUGCAUAAUCAUAAUAAGGAACUUGACUGCUUAACCCACAGAGGUUAAAGUCAUCUUGAAUGUAAUCAUCAUCAACUUCACAAAAGAAUUCAUUUCCUCGCAGAUUGCAAAACCAUGAGAUCCAAGAUGUGUCAUCCCCAUCAGAACCACUAACAUCUGACUCUUCACUGUCCGUCUCAGAUUCCUCAUCAGAGGCAUUGUUUUUGGAGAGGGGAUCCUUAUGAUCAGGAGGUUGCUUCCCCAUGAGAAGAGACUGAGACGAAAAUUCCUUGCCGUUGAUUGUUCUGGAAGUAGAGGGAGAAGAUCGCUCGAGAUGCUUAUCAAGGGCAUCGUUGAUCCGCUUCCGAGCGACAGGUCCCACCUCCGUCUUGGAGCCACCAAUCCCUCGGUCUUUAUACAUGACAAAGACGACGAUCUCCUCCUCGGCGACGAUAAGGGUUGGUGUUCAGGGAAGAAUCAUGGAUGCAUGGCGUGGAAUGGGUGAAAAUCUAGGGUUUCAUUUGGAUGGAUAGAACCAGAGAAGGUAUGGGCUUUUUCUUUUUUUUCGAUUUUUUGAGAUUUUUUCUGGGUUUUCACUGAAAUUGGAAAAUUUACACUCCUUCUUAGAGAGAGAGAGAGAGCAGAAGGGCAAGUGAUAGGGCUGAGAGGUUGAGAGAGAGCG
rnacentral:misc_RNA from 1 species